rnacentral:rRNA from 1 species
GACGAACGCUGGCGGCGUGCUUAACACAUGCAAGUCGAGCGGUGAAGGGACCGGUUUUUGCUGGUUCUGGAUGAGUGGCGAACGGGUGAGUAACACGUGAGUAACCUGCCCCCUUCUUCUGGAUAACCGCAUGAAAGUGUGGCUAAUACGGGAUAUUCUGCGCCUGCUGCAUGGUGGGUGUGGGAAAGAUAUUGUUUCGGUGGGGGAUGGGCUCGCGGCCUAUCAGCUUGUUGGUGGGGUGAUGGCCUACCAAGGCGGUGACGGGUAGCCGGCCUGAGAGGGUGGACGGUCACACUGGGACUGAGACACGGCCCAGACUCCUACGGGAGGCAGCAGUGGGGAAUAUUGCACAAUGGGCGCAAGCCUGAUGCAGCGACGCCGCGUGAGGGAUGGAGGCCUUCGGGUUGUAAACCUCUUUCGCCAGUGAAGCAGGCCUGUCCCUUUUGUGGGUGGGUUGACGGUAGCUGGAUAAGAAGCGCCGGCUAACUACGUG